UCGAUUAAACCUUCUUUUGGAUACACUUCGUCCAUGACGUCAUCCAUGAUCGCAGAGACAUGGUCCAUGAUUGGAAAGACAUUGUUGAGGAUGAGGGAGACAUCGUCCACGAUCAGAGACAUUGUCCACGAUCGCAGAAACCUUGUCCAAGAUGAGAGAGACGUUGUCCACGAUCAGAGACAUUGUCCCAUGCUUCGUAGAGCUCUGCGCAAGAAUCGGUAGUGACACUGGUUCCUCGAUUCGACGGCAUGACCGCGAUCAUGGAGAUAUUUGUCGACGGUUACAGAGACAGCGUCUAUGAUCUCAGAGACAUCGUCCACGAUUACAAAGACAUUGUCCAUGAUCGCAGAGACUUUGUCCAUAAUCUCAGAGACAUUGUCUGCGAUCACAGAGACGUAGUCCACGAUCACAGAGAGUCUUCGUACAGUGAAGAAGUUGUUUGAGACCAGGACAGAGGCCUCCAGGUAUCACCACUUCGUCCAUGACGUCAUCCAUGAUCACAGAGACAUGGUCCAUGAUUGGAGAGACAUUGUUGAGGAUGAGGGAGACAUCGUCCAUGAUCAGAGACAUUGUCCACGAUCGCAGAGGCCUUGUCAAAGAUGAGAGAGAUGUUGUCCACGAUCAGAGACAUUGUCCCAUGCUUCGUAGAGCUCUGCGCAAGAAUCGGUAGUGACACUGUGGUUCCUCGAUUCGACGGCAUGACCGCGAUCAUGGAGAUAUUUGUCGACGGUUACAGAGACAGCGUCUAUGAUCUCAGAGACAUCGUCCACGAUUACAAAGACAUUGUCCGUGAUCGCAGAGACUUUGUCCAUAAUCUCAGAGACAUUGUCCGAGAUCACAGAGACGUAGUCCACGAUCACAGAGCCUUUGUACAGUGAAGAAGUUGUUUGAGACCAGGACAGAGGCCUCCAGGAGGGGGACGAGAGGACUGCAUUGCUUGAAGAGGACAAUAAAAGUAAUAAAAAAGUAGAAAUGUUCUUAGAGAUGUAUUAAUGUGUCAUCUGUCAUUGUUGUGGUUUGUUAAAUCUUGUC